rnacentral:tmRNA from 1 species
GGGGGUGAAAGGGACUCGACCUAAAGAGAGAUUAAAGAGAAGCAUACCAGAGGGUAGCCCUGCUGUGAGUGGACUACACUAAAACAAAGGCAGAAGCCUAUGUAACUACCCCUUACGCGUUAGUUGGUUAAGGUGGGCUCUUAUGUUUUUUGCCUCAAGGAGACAUAAGGGCACGGUGAAUUGAGGAUAGAGAUAAAUCUUUAACCUUGGGGAUUUAUCUCGAAAUUUUACAAGGUUGCUUCAGGAUAAAUCCUGCCUUUGGGAGUUAUCCUGAAAAAGAUUAAAAUAAAGGCUAAGUAUGUAGAUGCUCUUUAUGAACUCUUUGGGGACGCGGGUUCGAUUCCCGCCACCUCCACCA